rnacentral:rRNA from 1 species
AGAGUUUGAUCAUGGCUCAGAACGAACGCUGGCGGCAGGCCUAACACAUGCAAGUCGAGCGGGAAGCAUCCUUCGGGAUGUGGAGAGCGGCAGACGGGUGAGUAACGCGUGGGAAUCUACCUAAUGGUACGGAAUAGCUCCGGGAAACUGGAAUUAAUACCGUAUAAGCCCUCCGGGGGAAAGAUUUAUCGCCAUUGGAUGAGCCCGCGUCGGAUUAGCUAGUUGGUGGGGUAAAGGCCUACCAAGGCUACGAUCCGUAGCUGGUCUGAGAGGAUGAUCAGCCACAUUGGGACUGAGACACGGCCCAAACUCCUACGGGAGGCAGCAGUGGGGAAUAUUGGACAAUGGGCGCAAGCCUGAUCCAGCCAUGCCGCGUGAGUGAUGAAGGCCCUAGGGUUGUAAAGCUCUUUCGCACGCGACGAUAAUGACGGUAGCGUGAGAAGAAGCCCCGGCUAACUUCGUGCCAGCAGCCGCGGUAAUACGAAGGGGGCUAGCGUUGUUCGGAAUCACUGGGCGUAAAGCGCACGUAGGCGGAUCGUUAAGUCAGGGGUGAAAUCCCGAGGCUCAACCUCGGAACUGCCUUUGAUACUGGCAAUCUUGAGUCCGGGAGAGGUGAGUGGAACUGCGAGUGUAGAGGUGAAAUUCGUAGAUAUUCGCAAGAACACCAGUGGCGAAGGCGGCUCACUGGCCCGGUACUGACGCUGAGGUGCGAAAGCGUGGGGAGCAAACAGGAUUAGAUACCCUAGUAGUCC